AAUAUAUACUAUACUAAUAACAUAGUACACCAUAUAAAAUAUAUUCUACAAUAUAUUAAUGACUACUAUACAAGAUAUUGAUUUAAAAAAAAAUCAAACCGCCGGAACCGGAUGGUACCCGGAACCGGAUGGUACCGGUUCCACCUUCAGAACCGCCAGAACCGGAACCGCAGACCCAAAUAUACCCAGAACCGAAACCGGAUACAGCCUUAGCCCAAACCCCAAAUACAUGAUAGAAAGGGUCCAAUCCAGUCAAAACCAACAUGAUAAAAUUUAAGUCCUAGUACAACCCCCAAAAUUGUAUUAUCAACAGUACGAUUGAAUGUAGAAAAGUUACAUAUAUAGAUAAUUUAAUAAGAAAACAUAAAUAAUUUUUGAAGGACAUAGACUGAUCUACAAUCAUCUAAACAUUCAUCCAUAAAUAUCCAAAACAAUUACAUGGCUUCAAACUUGUAUUUCACGCGUUCAUAGGGUCCAAGAGGUACCUGAGAGCAGAAAUUAGAGCAAAAGAAGAUGAGGAAAUGAGUACCAAUAGAAUAGUUACAACAGCAAAUUCGACUUCUUAAAUCAUUUUCGAAUCCAGAUCAACCAGGAAACCUUUGAGGUUUUAAAAUUGCCCUAAUAGUACAAACCAAAGUGUAAUUCCAAGUAGUUUUACUCAAGAAUGAUGCAGAGAAUUUUAGUCUUUUAUUUUUGGGUUUCAAAGUUAUCCUUUCUAAAUGAGGGAAGGGCCUUAUUUAUAAGGCAGAAUAUUUGUUGUGUGCCUUCCAAGGUAAGGAAAUGAGAUUUUCCCAGAAUACUCCUCUCAGAGUAUUUUUUCUUAACAGAAAAUAGACAGUUGUCCUUUCCUCAUUGACUUUAGCACCUUAACUAACCAAAUGAGGCCAGCUGCCCCAUGUUUUAGAAUAAUCUAAUAUUUCCCUAAAUAGGUAAGCUAUAGAUUACCCUUACACAACCUGCUUAUUAAAGUCCUUGCCUAGCCUUUAUGACACCCCUUAAAUUUUUAAUUACUCAAUUGAAACCCCUGAAAGUUCUGAACAUAUAAAAACUAAACAAACAAAUCUCUAACAUAAACCAUAGGACAAACGAAUCAAAUGGCAUUAAUCUCUAAAACCUAAAUAGGUUUAAUAUUGCAAUUCAUUCAGAAAUAAACCGACACUCGAACAAUCAAAACUGACUUUUAGCAAAAAUAAUGAACCAAUUUGAGAUUUAAACUCCGAACCAAUAAAAACAACUAACUUAACGGGACUCAAAACAACAUGAUUCACUAACAUGCUGAUUUUGGAACAAAAUUUCAUUAAACACAUGCUAAAUAAUUAAAAUAAACUCUAAAUGAAGAACUACUGAUUCUAAAGGUAAAUGCAAUAGUUAACCCUAAACUUGAUUAAUUACAAAAAAAACAACCACACAUAAAAAAAACGGCUUAAAAUUAAGGCUAACUGACCCCUCUCAUUUAUAGGUAAAAAGAAAUAGAAGAAGGAAAACAUUAGAUAUGCACAGAAGCUGAGAAGAUAAACAAAAGAAAAAUACAAGAACAGGUACCUACUGACGGACGAGCUUGCGUGGGCUUAAAGUCGACCCCACAAAGUUAUUCUUCGUCGAGAAGAAACAUUUGGGGUGAAUCUCAACACUAUUGAGUUAAAGCAGGGACGAAAAAAAUGAGCAUGCACAAUCCAGUGCUCUAGGGUUUGGAUUUGGAACUCGCCGAUUUACAGGACCCUCCAACGAAUAACGCCCAGUAUUUAGUGACAAGGGGGUUAAGUAUGAGUUUAUGGCGGUCUGGGGUGGGUUAGGUUUUUUGGUGUUGGUUUUAGAUAUGAGAUUCGAAUACCUGGGCGAGGAUUUGAGGGAAUUGAUUUGGGAAUUCGAAAAGAGGGGGUGAUGGAGAAUCUCGGAUGUUAUGUUGGUGAAGAUUGGGCCACCGGAAUCGCCGUGAGGCGUUUUCGGUGGGCGAACUAAGGCGGAGGCGGUGGAAAUUUAAGGGUGGCGCCUCUAGGGUUCGAGAUGGGAAAGAUGAGAGACGAGGCAUGGGGGGGUUCGGGGCUCCGACAAUAAUAUAUUAAAUACACCUCAC
rnacentral:lncRNA from 1 species